rnacentral:rRNA from 1 species
GAUGAACGCUGGCGGCGUGCCUAAUACAUGCAAGUCGAGCGAACGGACGAGAAGCUUGCUUCUCUGAUGUUAGCGGCGGACGGGUGAGUAACACGUGGAUAACCUACCUAUAAGACUGGGAUAACUUCGGGAAACCGGAGCUAAUACCGGAUAAUAUUUUGAACCGCAUGGUUCAAAAGUGAAAGACGGUCUUGCUGUCACUUAUAGAUGGAUCUGCGCUGCAUUAGCUAGUUGGUAAGGUAACGGCUUACCAAGGCAACGAUGCAUAGCCGACCUGAGAGGGUGAUCGGCCACACUGGAACUGAGACACGGUCCAGACUCCUACGGGAGGCAGCAGUAGGGAAUCUUCCGCAAUGGGCGAAAGCCUGACGGAGCAACGCCGCGUGAGUGAUGAAGGUCUUCGGAUCGUAAAACUCUGUUAUUAGGGAUGAACAUAUGUGUAAGUAACUGUGCACAUCUUGACGGUACCUAAUCAGAAAGCCACGGCUAACUACGUG